UUGAUAUUUUGGUAAUUACACUUAUUUCCCACUAGGUGGAGAUUCAUCCUGCCAUACAAGGGCAGUUUGUUUUACUGCCCCCUUCAUUUGGGAUGGGAGGGGGCAGCACCCAUGGCUAGAAGAAGAGUUACGAUCCCAACCGGUAUUGCUUCACCCCAGAAUAAUUGUGCCCCACCCCACAUGGCUAGAAAUCAGUGAGAAGGGAGGUGUUUAUGUAAAUGACUGUCGAGAAGGUUCCCCAAAGCCAUUCUUCCUGCACUCUGUACUACAAACCCGAUGUGGGUUAGCUGUCAAUCAACACUCCCAUCCAUCCUGCUGCAAAGAGAGCAAGGAACACUGAGAGCUGAGCUUUCUCAUCUGGAACAUUCCUGUCAAAAGAGCUACCCAGGAUGGCUGCUUCAGCACCAACACCAGCGGAAUCAUUCACCCCUGGACCAGAUGGAGUUUACAUGGACCGUCUAGGUUUCUACUCACUGGACUCUAAUGUCCCCGGCCUGUCCAAGGUCAUCCUCAGCAAGCUGAAGAUGAAGGACUACUCUGAGUACAGGGCUGCACUGGAGGGGAAGAAGAAGAGUCUCACCUUCCACUCCUACAAAGAGAUGUUCCAGAACAUGGAGGAGACCUUCAAAUUCUGCACAGGAUGCAGCAGGCUUCCAAGUCACCUGUCAGGUGACCAAGCUCUCAAACGCUGUGGGAAGUAAGUGAGGAGAGGCGUACAUGGAAUAGUGUUACCAUGGCAGUUGUCUUGUGUGUCUUAGGUACGUUGUUUUGUUUAUUUGGCAACACUAUAUGUUGGUCGCCUUUGUGUCACCUUUAGAAUGAGACUUACUAUUAGUCCUCAGUUGACUCUGCUGAAGAUAAAACAGGAAAAAUAAUAGUCAAUCUAAAGCAGACAAUGCUCUCCUGUAUCUCCUACAGCCUUUAAAAUGCAACUGUCACUUUCUGACCUCAAGAACUUACACAAUGGAAAAUUUAAAGGCUGACUGAUUCUCCCAGAAAUAUAAAUUGCUGUGUUGAUAGGUCCUUCCAGGCUUUCUGAAAACAAUGGCUUAGUGUUAUUGUCUGGUUUAUAAUACUUUAAUCCAUGUAUCUUCCAUUUGUUUGCCAUGUUCCCGGACACCCAAACAAACAUUUCAUCAUUCCCGCAGCUCGGUGAAAAACAGCCACGUGUUGACAGACAUGAGCCCAGGCAGAGAUGCAUUCCCUGAGGUGUGGGGCAGCCCAGGCCACCCCUCUCAUGUCACGUUGUGAUAACUCUUGUGCAUGCAGAAUGCUUUUUAGCUCCUUCUUAAUGACAAACUGCUAAGUGUCUCUCUUCAUGGGUGGAAUUGGUCGGCCUUAUGUCAUUUUUGUUUUGUUUACAUUACAUCACACUUUAGGGAUAAUGUAGGCUUAUUGUGGCUAUCUGCUUUUUAUCAUGUUGAAUGAAUGCCCAGUGUACCCCACGCUGAAAGUGAAGCUUCAUUCAGCAGUUUCAAGCACGCACACACACACACACACACACACACACUGCUUUCUGCUUCAGGGGCUUCUGAUCAUUUCUUCAGCUGAGAGGCCAGCUUUUAUUUCCGGCUGUUCCAGUGCCACUUAAAUGUCAUGUAUGCCACUGAGAGAGAGACGAAAUCCUUUCAAGUGUGUGCAUUUAUAUUACAAGGAUGGUAGGCUACAGAUACGCGGUCUGUGUUCAGCAUACAGAGGCUGGAGAGGGUCCCUUCUCUCAGGAGAGAGCUUACAGGUCUGUGAAAUCCCUAAGUUAAGACCCUUCACUUGCUGUUGCUGUUGUUCAGAACCAGUAUUCGUUUUUAAUGGCCUGGUACAGCCUGGCAGUCCCCAGGUUAAAAGCUUGUUUAUUAAAAAUACAAUGGAAUACACACACACACUACUUUGUGACUCUUGUGAAAACGUUGCGUGGCUUCUGCAGUUUCAGUACGAUGUACAGUACCGUAUGUAGGCACUUUUAUUUUUACUCUAUUAUUAUUACCUACUGUGUUAUUCUUUUUCCGACUUACCUACAAACUCACCUUAAAGACAUGGGGAACGGAUCUCAUUUGUAACCUGGGGUCUGUAUGUACUACGAAUUUGUCUGUAGUAUUGCUGCAUACAUUCUACGGCUGGGCGAUGUAUCGAGUCUAAGAUAUAUCAGUAUAUUUUCAUAUGGCACCUAGGAUGAGACAGUAUUGUUUAUGUCGAUAUAGUUUAUGCUGCUUUAAAAUUUUACUCAUAGAGCCACCAGGUUGCCUGUUUCUACUCUCCUUAAGAACACAAGCUGCCCCUCCCCCUCACUCACAAGUGCUGCAUGCAGUGACAGCAUGGAGACAGACGCAGACACCAGGCAAGCUAGCGAAGAGGAGCUGGCUGGUAAGAUAAUACAGGCCAGGGGUUUAUUUCUGAGCCAUUUCUUCAUACACAUGCACAGCUGUCUGUUAAUAAAAAUGCCCGUGUGACAUUGAGGACAUUUGGCUCUGACUUGGAACUGUCUUUUUGUUAUUAGUUUUUGGGGGGAAAUAUCAAGAGAUAUAUCGCAUAUCGCCAUUCAGCUAAAAAAUGUUGAGAUGAUUUUUUGGUCCAUGUCGCCUAGCCCUAAUACAUUCACAACAACAUAGGACACAAAUCAAGAAAAAUAUUAUAGGAAUAAAAUAUAUGCAGGGACACUGCAAAUCAGUACAGUACAGUACAGUCAGUUGUUGUGUGCAGGCCGGGACACUGCAAAUCAGUACAGUACAGUCAGUUGUUGUGUGCAGGCUGGGACACUGCAAAUCAGUACAGUACAGUCAGGUGUUGUGUGCAGGCUGGGACACUGCAAAUCAGAACAGUACAGUCAGUUGUUGUGUGCAGGCCGGGACACUGAAAGCCGGUGGCACGUCUGCGUCUGAAUGCUGCUGGGCAGCGUGACCAGCCUCGCCAAGCCUGCACGGCACUCACCGGCCUCCCCUUUGCUUCCUCGCUCGCCCCCUCUGCCUGUCUCUCCUCUCUCCCACGCUGGUGGUCUCACCCACCCCCACAUGCACUCCAGAGAUCACAGCUGCAUGCUGUCAGCGAGGGACCCGAGCUGUGACAGAUGGGACAGCCUGGUGACAUCUCACACCUGAGCAACUUAAGGGCUGUUGAGGUCAAAUUGUCAAAGUAGGAGUGGAAAGCUAACUUUGACCAACCAAAUUAUAUCAAAUGCGAAUAACCUGCCGCUCACUCUUGCCUGUUUUAGGGUCUUUUUGGUGCCAAAUGCAUUUGCGAAUUUCACUGGCUUCUUUUUUUUUUUUUUUGUAAAAGUGCUGGAUUUUGCAAACGGCACUUAGGAGGCCGGCUUCACGCGUGAGAGUCUGUUGUUUCUCCCCAGUCCGCGCUCUCCUGUGGGAAGAACUCCCAGCCCUGAGUGCCUACCAUGCACUCCUGAUUAGGUCAUGCACCAUGGCUCAGAUGAUCUCCAAGCAGCCAGAAAUGCCAAAGGAAGGGCAGACUGUACAGCCCCCGUGGGUACACACCAGCCCUGCUGUCUCCAUCAGUCCUGCAGCUGCACACGGCAGCAGAGAAGGUUACUGAAAUACCCUCUACGGUGGAUAUUUAAAGUAAAUUAGUCAAUAAAAUGGUUAUUUUACCUGGUGCUUUAACUCUGGGAGUUCAUAUAAAUGACAAGGGCAUCUAGCCUUUUCGCUACAUGAAAGACUUUAGCUACCAGCAAGGUCAUACGUCAUGGGUGGCUGGGAUGGAUACAGCUGUACUGUAGACGGUCCGUAGACAAUUCCAGGCAUAGGUUUACAGCACAAAAUAUUGGUUAAAAUGAGUGUUACCCUCCAAAGGGGAGAGGUGCUCUCCUCCAUACAGGAUAGGUGUUACCCUCCAAAGGGGAGAGGUGCUCUUCUCCAUACAGGAUAGGUGUUACCCUCCAAACGGGGGAGGUGCUCUCCUUCAUACAGGAUAGGUGUUACCCUCCAAAGGGGAGAGGUGCUCUCCUUCAUACAGGAUAGGUGUUACCCUCCAAAGGGGAGAGGUGCUCUCCUUCAUACAGGAUAGGUGUUACCCUCCAAAGGGGAGAGGUGCUCUCCUCCAUACAGGAUAGGUGUUACCCUCCAAAGGGGAGAGGUGCUCUUCUCCAUACAGGAUAGGUGUUACCCUCCAAAGGGGAGAGGUGCUCUUCUCCAUACAAGAUAGGUGUUACCCUCCAAAGGGGAGAGGUGCUCUCCUCCAUACAGGAUAGGUGUUACCCUCCAAACGGGGGAGGUGCUCUCCUUCAUACAGGAUAGGUGUUACCCUCUAAAGGGGAGAGGUGCUCUUCUCCAUACAGGAUAGGUGUUACCCUCUAAAGGGGAGAGGUGCUCUCCUUCAUACAGGAUAGGUGUUACCCUCCAAAGGGGAGAGGUGCUCUUCUCCAUACAAGAUAGGUGUUACCCUCCAAAGGGGAGAGGUGCUCUCCUCCAUACAGGAUAGGUGUUACCCUCCAAACGGGGGAGGUGCUCUCCUUCAUACAGGAUAGGUGUUACCCUCCAAAGGGGAGAGAUGCUCUCCUCCAUACAGGAUAGGUGUUACCCUCCAAAGGGGAGAGGUGUUACCCUUCAUACAGGAUAGGUGUUACCCUCUAAAGGGGAGAGGUGCUCUCCUUCAUACAGGAUAGGUGUUACCCUCCAAAGGGGAGAGGUGCUCUCCUUCAUACAGGAUAGGUGUUACCCUCCAAAGGGGAGAGGUGUUACCCUCCAAAGGGGAGAGGUGCUCUCCUCCAUACAGGAGAGGUGUUACCCUCCAAAGGGGAGAGGUGCUCUCCUUCAUACAGGAUAGGUGUUACCCUCCAAACGGGG